AACUUCUCAGACUUCAUAAACAAGGCAUUUGCAAGGAGAUCUGAGAUCUAUCAGGAAGUCAGGGCAGCAAGAUGAGGUCGAAGAUCCAGGUCUUUAUGUGCCUGUUGCUCUGGGUCUCUGGUGUCGUUGGUGACAUUGUGAUGACCCAGUCUCCAGCCACCAUGGCUGUGUCGCCUGGAGAGAGAGUCACCAUCCACUGCAAGUCCAGCCAGAGUCUUUUUUACAGUGGUAACAACAAGCAUCUUUUAAGCUGGUACCAGCAGAAACCAGGCCAAUCUCCCAAACUGCUCAUCUAUUGGGCAUCCACCCGAGCAUCUGGGGUCCCAGACCGGUUCAGUGGCAGUGGGUCUGGCACCGAUUUCACUCUCACCAUCAGCAGCCUGCAGGCUGAAGAUGUGGCAGAUUAUUUCUGCCAGCAGUUUAUUAGUGCUCCUCCCACAGUGAUUCAGCCUCGAACAAAAACUUCCUCUCAGGCUCUCCCCAGCUGCUUGCACUCCAUGUGGCCCAGUGCUUGA